rnacentral:rRNA from 1 species
UGGUGCUUGCAUCAUGAUUUACAUUUGAGUGAGUGGCGAACUGGUGAGUAACACGUGGGAAACCUGCCCAGAAGCGGGGGAUAACACCUGGAAACAGAUGCUAAUACCGCAUAACAACUUGGACCGCAUGGUCCGAGUUUGAAAGAUGGCUUCGGCUAUCACUUUUGGAUGGUCCCGCGGCGUAUUAGCUAGAUGGUGGGGUAACGGCUCACCAUGGCAAUGAUACGUAGCCGACCUGAGAGGGUAAUCGGCCACAUUGGGACUGAGACACGGCCCAAACUCCUACGGGAGGCAGCAGUAGGGAAUCUUCCACAAUGGACGAAAGUCUGAUGGAGCAACGCCGCGUGAGUGAAGAAGGGUUUCGGCUCGUAAAACUCUGUUGUUAAAGAAGAACAUAUCUGAGAGUAACUGUUCAGGUAUUGACGGUAUUUAACCAGAAAGCCACGGCUAACUACGUGCCAGCAGCCGCGGUAAUACGUAGGUGGCAAGCGUUGUCCGGAUUUAUUGGGCGUAAAGCGAGCGCAGGCGGUUUUUUAAGUCUGAUGUGAAAGCCUUCGGCUCAACCGAAGAAGUGCAUCGGAAACUGGGAAACUUGAGUGCAGAAGAGGACAGUGGAACUCCAUGUGUAGCGGUGAAAUGCGUAGAUAUAUGGAAGAACACCAGUGGCGAAGGCGGCUGUCUGGUCUGUAACUGACGCUGAGGCUCGAAAGUAUGGGUAGCAAACAGGAUUAGAUACCCCUGGUAGUCCAUACCGUAAACGAUGAAUGCUAAGUGUUGGGAGGGUUUCCGCCCCUUCAGUGCUGCAGCUAACGCAAUAAAGCAUUCCCGCCUGGGGGAGUACCGGCCGCAA